rnacentral:rRNA from 1 species
GUCGAGCGGUAGCACAGAGAGCUUGCUCUCGGGUGACGAGCGGCGGACGGGUGAGUAAUGUCUGGGAAACUGCCUGAUGGAGGGGGAUAACUACUGGAAACGGUAGCUAAUACCGCAUAACGUCGCAAGACCAAAGUGGGGGACCUUCGGGCCUCAUGCCAUCAGAUGUGCCCAGAUGGGAUUAGCUGGUAGGUGGGGUAACGGCUCACCUAGGCGACGAUCCCUAGCUGGUCUGAGAGGAUGACCAGCCACACUGGAACUGAGACACGGUCCAGACUCCUACGGGAGGCAGCAGUGGGGAAUAUUGCACAAUGGGCGCAAGCCUGAUGCAGCCAUGCCGCGUGUGUGAAGAAGGCCUUCGGGUUGUAAAGCACUUUCAGCGGGGAGGAAGGCGGUGAGGUUAAUAACCUCACCGAUUGACGUUACCCGCAGAAGAAGCACCGGCUAACUCCGUGCCAGCAGCCGCGGUAAUACGGAGGGUGCAAGCGUUAAUCGGAAUUACUGGGCGUAAAGCGCACGCAGGCGGUCUGUCAAGUCGGAUGUGAAAUCCCCGGGCUCAACCUGGGAACUGCAUUCGAAACUGGCAGGCUAGAGUCUUGUAGAGGGGGGUAGAAUUCCAGGUGUAGCGGUGAAAUGCGUAGAGAUCUGGAGGAAUACCGGUGGCGAAGGCGGCCCCCUGGACAAAGACUGACGCUCAGGUGCGAAAGCGUGGGGAGCAAACAGGAUUAGAUACCCUGGUAGUCCACGCUGUAAACGAUGUCGAUUUGGAGGUUGUGCCCUUGAGGCGUGGCUUCCGGAGCUAACGCGUUAAAUCGACCGCCUGGGGAGUACGGCCGCAAGGUUAAAACUCAAAUGAAUUGACGGGGGCCCGCACAAGCGGUGGAGCAUGUGGUUUAAUUCGAUGCAACGCGAAGAACCUUACCUGGUCUUGACAUCCACAGAACUUUCCAGAGAUGGAUUGGUGCCUUCGGGAACUGUGAGACAGGUGCUGCAUGGCUGUCGUCAGCUCGUGUUGUGAAAUGUUGGGUUAAGUCCCGCAACGAGCGCAACCCUUAUCCUUUGUUGCCAGCGGUUAGGCCGGGAACUCAAAGGAGACUGCCAGUGAUAAACUGGAGGAAGGUGGGGAUGACGUCAAGUCAUCAUGGCCCUUACGACCAGGGCUACACACGUGCUACAAUGGCAUAUACAAAGAGAAGCGACCUCGCGAGAGCAAGCGGACCUCAUAAAGUAUGUCGUAGUCCGGAUUGGAGUCUGCAACUCGACUCCAUGAAGUCGGAAUCGCUAGUAAUCGUAGAUCAGAAUGCUACGGUGAAUACGUUCCCGGGCCUUGUACACACCGCCCGUCACACCAUGGGAGUGGGUGCAAAAGAAGUAGGUAGCUUAACCUUCGGGAGGGCGCU